GACGGGUAGCCGGCCUGAGAGGGCGUCCGGCCACACUGGGACUGAGACACGGCCCAGACUCCUACGGGAGGCAGCAGUGGGGAAUAUUGCGCAAUGGGCGGAAGCCUGACGCAGCGACGCCGCGUGGGGGAUGACGGCCUUCGGGUUGUAAACCUCUUUCGACCUCGACGAAGAGUGAUUGACGGUAGGGGUGGAAGAAGCACCGGCCAACUACGUGCCAGCAGCCGCGGUAAUACGUAGGGUGCGAGCGUUGUCCGGAAUUAUUGGGCGUAAAGAGCUCGUAGGCGGUGUGUCACGUCGGCCGUGAAAACCUGCAGCUUAACUGUGGGCGUGCGGUCGAUACGGGCAUCACUGGAGUUCGGCAGGGGAGACUGGAAUUCCUGGUGUAGCGGUGAAAUGCGCAGAUAUCAGGAGGAACACCGGUGGCGAAGGCGGGUCUCUGGGCCGAUACUGACGCUGAGGAGCGAAAGCGUGGGGAGCAAACAGGAUUAGAUACCCUGAUAGUCCACGCCGUAAACGGUGGGCACUAGGUGUGGGGACCAUUCCACGGUUUCUGUGCCGCAGCUAACGCAUUAAGUGCCCCGCCUGGGGAGUACGGCCGCAAGGCUAAAACUCAAAGGAAUGGACG
rnacentral:rRNA from 1 species